UGGGGAAUUUUGCGCAAUGGGCGAGAGCCUGACGCAGCAACGCCGCGUGGGUGAUGAAGGUCUUCGGAUCGUAAAACCCUGUCGUCAGGGACGAAGGUCACGAGUUUAAGAGAUGCGUGACUUGACGGUACCUGGAGAGGAAGCCCCGGCUAACUCUGUGCCAGCAGCCGCGGUAAUACAGAGGGGGCAAGCGUUAUUCGGAAUUAUUGGGCGUAAAGGGCGCGUAGGCGGUGUCUUAAGUGAGACGUGUAAUCCCCGAGCUUAACUUGGGAACUGCAUCUCAGACUGGGGCGCUAGAGUACUGGAGAGGGUGGUAGAAUUCCACGUGUAGCGGUGAAAUGCGUAGAGAUUUGGAGGAACGCCAGUGGCGAAAGCGGCCUCCUGGCCCAUUUCUGACGCUCAGACACGAAAGCUAAGGUAGCAAACG
rnacentral:rRNA from 1 species